UUAUUGGAGAGUUUGAUCCUGGCUCAGGAUGAACGCUGGCGGCGUGCCUAAUACAUGCAAGUCGAGCGAAUGGAU
rnacentral:rRNA from 1 species